AACAGCGAUAAGGGGACCUCGAGUGCCAGGUUACAAAUCUGGCUGUCGUAAUGCCUAAAAAGCAUUGCGUAGCAAGGGCCGGGCAAGACCGGUGCCAGCCGCCGCGGUAACACCGGCGGCUCGAGUGGUAACCGUUAUUAUUGGGUCUAAAGGGUCUGUAGCCGGCCGGAUAAGUCUCUUGGGAAAUCUGGCAGCUUAACUGUCGGGCUUUCAGGAGAUACUGUCUGGCUCGAGGCCGGGAGAGGUGAGAGGUACUUCAGGGGUAGGGGUGAAAUCUUGUAAUCCUUGAAGGACCACCAGUGGCGAUGGCGUCUCACCAGAACGGACCUGACGGCAAGGGACGAAAGCUAGGGGCACGAACCGGAUUAGAUACCCGGGUAGUCCUAGCCGUAAACGAUACUCGCUAGGUGUCGGCCACGGUGCGACCGUUGUCGGUGCCGUAGGGAAGCCGUGAAGCGAGCCACCUGGGAAGUACGGCCGCAAGGCUGAAACUUAAAGGAAUUGGCGGGGGAGCAC
rnacentral:rRNA from 1 species